rnacentral:lncRNA from 10 species
UUUUGCCGCAGAGAUUUACAAAACACGAAGAUGCCUUCUGCUUCUGAGCUACAAGAAAGGCCCUGCGGGAGAACAAUCUAGAAGUUACUGCCAUGUGACCGUGGCCAGCCUGGGUUUUUAAGUGUCCUGUGCGGCUCUGACAGGGCAAAAGGCUCCUCUUCCUUCUUCCAGUUAAAAGAAGUGCCUGUUGUACAGUGUUUUGCUUUGCAGCUGCCUUUUUAUAACUCCAACUUCUUCCUCCUUCCUUCCCUCCCUUUUGUGAGAGGAGAGUGACUGGGCCUGAGGCGGUGCGUGGCGCGCGAGGGCAGGCCUCUUCCCGGGCACGGGCGGCUGAGGGAACUAACUACCUGCUGCCGAGCCCGCCAGGAGCCAAGCAACCCAGCGAGCCCGGACCUGCGUCUACUGAGCUACCUGUGCGGAUCGAAAGCACUGCACCUGCGUGCCCUGCUCCUCAGCCUUUUGAGGCUCUGCUCUUCUUUCUGCGAACACAACACGGCACAUGCUGGCUGGGAGGCCCGUCCAGAGGCACGCGUGGGCCCAGUGGUCCUGCCUGCCCGGGCGCCGCGGGCCCCUCGGCAGAGGCUGAGGCACUCACGGCCCGGCCUCUCAGUGGGGGGCCCUCCCGGCCGGCAGCCCGCCCGCGCUGCCCGGCCCGGCCGCGCCUCCGCCUCGGUCCCACUCACUGUCCCGCAGGCGGCGCUUGAACGCGGGGUCCCCGCGCCGCUUCCGGUUGAGGUAAAUACAAUAGCCCAGGAAGGCGAAGGCGCCACAGGCCGCCGCGGCGGCCAAGAGGCGGAGGAGGGAGCGGACGGAGGGCAUCCGACCGCGGGCGUCCCACAAGCCGAGCGUUGGGCGCGGGCCGGCCGGCAGGGGGCGUCGGCGCGGCGGCCCAUCCGGCCUCGGGGCCUCCUGCGCACCCAGCUGCGCGUUGACGCCUCGCACCCAGGCUUGCGGACCGAUGAGGAAGCCGAGCGUUCGAGAGGGUGUGUGCGGGAGCCCUCACAGCCACAGAGUAGCAGAGCUCUGUUCGAACCUACGUCUGUCGCACUCCAAAUUCUGAACCCUUUCUCCAAACACGCCUCUGCCCCUGUGUCUACAACACCCAUUCAGGCAAAGCACAGUAUGCUGCGAAUCUGCUUUACUGGGAGCCAGUGGUCGUUUAGGUCUCUGUUCCCUCACCUGCAAAAUUAAGUUGACUCUAAGGUCAACUUUGGUCACCUCCUAGUUCACAUUGUCUAACAGUAGCCCGUACUCCCCAAUCUGGUAUCCUUUGUCUCCUGAAAGGACCCAGCAGUCCAAGGUCCAAGGGAGGAAUUCAGAAGCAACACUGUUUAAUCUAGAAAAAUACGUUAAAUUGCUGGGCUGAGACUGACAGUCAAAGGUCCCAAAGCAAAAACAACUGAGAGUCCCAUGAUACUGGCCUAGCUGCUUUUCUAAUAUUUGCCUUACUCAGCGGACACAGCAGAAAGAAAGAAGGAAUUAAAAACUGCUGGACUUGGAGCACAAUGGUCAAGGCCACACAUGACACGUCACUCUACCACAAAGUCAUCCACUAAAUCUCUACUAGAGGCAGAAAACUUCUCUCAACAUGAUCAACCCUAUCAGGUAAUUUACCUUUUAUUUGGUUUUUAAGAGACAUCCCUUCUGGAGCUUUCCCCUCCUGUUCCAUCCUACUCCUGGAAUAGUUGCUUUCUAGGUCUGCUAUGCAGUGGUCAUCCUAGAGCUUCCAUUCACCAUCACCUUCAGAUAUUCCUUCACUAUUUUCCUAUGUAGGAUUCCUUGUUUGCCAGUCCCAUGUCUUCUUAGCUUGGCUUCUAGUUUCUAGUACUACCAUUGAGAAAUCGGAUGUAAGACUCUUGAUGCUGUUCUGAGAUCCAUUUCUUUUUAUAUAUGUAUCUUUAUAUGGUAAAUUUUUAGAAUCUACUUUUUUUUUUUUUUUUUUGAGACAGACUCUCACUCUGUCACCCAGGCUGGAGUGCACUGGCGCGAUCUCGGUGCUCACUUCCGGGUUCAAGUGAUCCUCAAGCCUCAGCCUCCUGAGUGGCUGGGAUUACAGGCAUCUGCCACCAUGCGCAGCUGACUUUUGUAGUUUUAGUAGAGACAGGGUUUUGUCAUGUUGGCCAGGUUGGUCUUAAACUCCUGGCCUCCAGUGAUCUGCCUGCCUCUGCCUCCCAAAAUGCUGGGAUUACAGGCGUGAGCCGCUGUGCCAGGCCUAGAAUCUACUCUUUAUCCACAGGAUUCUGAAAUUUCAUAUGCUUUGGUGAUUUUCACCCCCAUUAUUUAUAGAGGGCACAGUGAGUCCUUUUCUAACUCAUAUCCUUCAGUUCUAGAAUUUUAAAAAUAUCUUUGAUGACAACUUCCUCUUGUUUAUUCAACUCUCCUUCUAGAAAUCCUAUGAUUCAGAAGUUGGAUCUCCUCGCCAGAUUCCAUAUUUCUCUUAUUUCUUCUCUCCUAUUGUCUUUUUGACCCUCUAGUGGAAUUUCUUCAGCUUCACUGCCUUAUUAUUUUUUUUAAAUUCCUGCUAUCAUAUUUUAAAGAUAUCCUUCUUGUUCUCUGAAUUUUUAAAAUAGUUAUUAUGCUUUUGUUUCAAGGUGGCAAUCUCUUUCCCUUUAUCUCUGGAUACAAAUUGAACAUCCCUAAUCCAAAAAUCCAAAAUCUGAAACUUUUGAGCACCAACGUGGUGCCACAAGUGGAAAAUUCCACACAUAAGCACUUACCACAAACUUUGUUUCAUGCACAAAAUUAUUUAUAUAAAAUUACCUUCAGGCUAUGUGUAUAAAGUGUCUAUGAAACAUAAAUGAAUUUUGUGUUUAGACUUGGGUCCCAUCACCAAGAUAUUUCAUUAUGUACAAAUAUUCCAAAAUCUGAAAAAAAUAAAAAACCCAAACACUUCUAGACCCAAGCAUUUCAAAUAAAGGAUACUCAACUUGGAUUAACUAUUAAGAAUAGUUUUGUCCUAUUUUUUUUUUAAUAUGGUACAUUAUCUGUUUUUUUUCUUCCAGUUCCUUUUUAUUCUCCUUUUUCUACUUUGGCUUCUGCCUUUAUGUAGGGGCUUUCCUCAAAUGUCUGGUCAUGUGGCUUCCAUAUUUAACAUUAAAAAGCUGACUGAAAGCUGUAUAUGAGCAUCAGGGCUUUUAAAUACAGAAAAUGCACAUGUAGUGAUUGGCAAGGAUCUUGAUUUUUGUUUCAGGAACAUCCAAAUAGUAGGUAAUUUUUCUUGGGCUGGUCAUUUUCUUUAGAAGAAUCUUCCAAUCUCCUCCCAGGAAUAAGCAUAAGCUUGGCUGCCAGCUUUCAGGAAGCCAAGAGGAUUAGGCCUUGAGUUAGAAGAGGGACAGCAAUCUAACUAUUCAGUAUGCAAACUUUCACUCCAUCCAUUAUUUUGGUUUAGCACUUAAUCAUUACCCUCAGCUGUGGCUGGUGCCCCCAAGUCUACAGGCCUACUGAUUUCCUCAUUCUCUUUUAAGUUAAUCUAUUUUCUGCUUGAGUUGGGGGUGAGGUAGACUUGCUUCACAGAUGGGAAGAAGAGAUCCAAUUUCUCUUUCCAUUUUCAACCAAUCCCAUUUUUCAGCAUCGUCCCAUAUCCCUUCUGAAAGCUUUUCUGGGGUUACAUGGUAUUAAUUGGCUUGCUUCUUGUUGUUUUGUCCCACUACAAGGACAAGCAAGCUUAGUUUCAGCAUUAUCUCAUCUGCUGGGACAGUUACAGUAGUCCAUCUGUUAUGCAGCUUCCAAAAGAUAUACUGUUGACAUUUCUUGUCUGUUGUGGUCAUUCUCUUGUCCUUUUGAGUUUAGGGCUUUUAAUUUCCUUUACUGUUAUUUUAGCAGGGCUUAGGGAUGGACUGUAGAUGGACAUGUUCAUGUUUAACUGGAAGUCAAUCCUACAACCCCCGAAGGGCUAGCUCAGACACUACUCCCUCUCUCUGACUACUCCAAAGUAACCUCUCCUUCCACUAACUCUUGUACUCGUUAAUAUCAUUCUCAGGGUACACACUGUUCCACUAGAUGUUAAGAUCUUUGAGAAGAAAGUCUGUAUCUAACUCAUUUCUGUACUUCCGCCACCUGGCAGAGUGCCUGGCACAUGGCAUGUGCUCUUUAAAGUUGCUGAGCUGCACUAUCUUAUAUUUUAGUUGCUUAGGAAAUGAUUUAUAAUCCCAACAAGAUAAUCUCCUUGAGAAUAAGCCUUAUGUCUCAUUCAUUUUGGUGAACCCCAUAACAAAUACAGUGCCUGUUAAUAGAUGCCAAUAA